rnacentral:rRNA from 1 species
UAGAGAGGGUGCAAGCGUUAAUCGGAAUUACUGGGCGUAAAGCGUGCGUAGACGGUUAUGUAAGUCGGAUGUGAAAGCCCCGGGCUCAACCUGGGAAUUGCAUUCGAGACUGCAUAGCUAGGAUGCGGAAGAGGGAAGUGGAAUUUCCGGUGUAGCGGUGAAAUGCGUAGAUAUCGGAAGGAACAUCAGUGGCGAAAGCGACUUCCUGGUCCAGCAUCGACGUUCAGGCACGAAAGCGUGGGGAGCAAACAGG